rnacentral:rRNA from 1 species
UAGGGAAUCUUCCGCAAUGGGCGAAAGCCUGACGGAGCAACGCCGCGUGAGUGAUGAAGGUCUUCGGAUCGUAAAACUCUGUUAUUAGGGAAGAACAAAUGUGUAAGUAACUAUGCACGUCUUGACGGUACCUAAUCAGAAAGCCACGGCUAACUACGUGCCAGCAGCCGCGGUAAUACGUAGGUGGCAAGCGUUAUCCGGAAUUAUUGGGCGUAAAGCGCGCGUAGGCGGUUUUUUAAGUCUGAUGUGAAAGCCCCCGGCUCAACCGGGGAGGGUCAUUGGAAACUGGUUGACUUGAGUGCAGAAGAGGAGAGUGGAAUUCCAUGUGUAGCGGUGAAAUGCGUAGAUAUAUGGAGGAACACCAGUGGCGAAGGCGACACUCGGGUCUGUAACUGACGCUGAGGCUCGAAAGCGUGGGUAGCAAACAGG